GGGGGUGUAAAGGUUUCGACUGUGAAAUAAAGUAAUAAUGGCAUGCGGAGGAAGUCAGUUGGCCUCCUAAAAAAACUGAUAAAACAUUAAGUGCCAAAUCUAAAUCUAAUGUCAUCGCUGGUAACUUCAGUUGCUUCGGUGCAGAUGUGGUAGAAGCUGCGGCUUAAUCGCCUUUAAGCUUCCGAUAGCCCAGGGUUGGACCAAGGGUCUUGGAACUAUCGUUAUUUACUUGGUAUGAAGUUAGCAUCGACUGCUCUUAGGAGCUAAACUUCAAGAUAAAUAGGGCGGCUAAGUUUUUUGGGCGUGUUCUUUAAAGAAAUUUAGCUAAAAAAAGAACACUAUGCAUGUAGAGGUUAUUAUAGAGUUUGCUCAGGACGAGAGUUCGAUUCUCUCCACCUCCAAUU
rnacentral:tmRNA from 1 species